ACAAAGAAAAGAAGUUCCCCCCUAAAGGUGAUAAGGCUCCAUGUGAGGUCAUAGAGUAUUGGACAUCCAAGCCAGAAUAACUUCAUUUACUAGCUAUGUGUUUGUAGGCAUGACACUUAACUUCCCUUGACUCGGUUUCUCCAUUUGUAAAAUGGUACCAACAUCCAGGUAAAGUGUUUAGAAGAAUAACUGGCAUAUAAAAACAGUAAGUGUUAGCUCUUAUUUUACGAAUAAAUUAAGGAAAAGUUAACUUGCAAGAAUGCAUCCAGAUUAGAAUCAUAGAAAUGUAGAAAUCAUCUAUAAAUAUGUCUAUUAUUGGAACAUUCAUAAGGAUAGAAUGUGGGGUAGGGCAUAAUGAUUUGACAGGCCUGAAGAUCCAGAAAUUCAAAUGUAAUAGAAAGUUUGUCUGUAUCCAACCAAAUAGCUGAAGAAACUGUUUUUUUUUGAGACCGGGUCUCACUCUGAUAGCACGACCACAGCUCACUAUUGUCUUGAUCUCCCAGGCUUAAGCAAUUCUUCUGCCUCAGCCCUCCGAGUACCUGGGACCACAGGCCUGUACCACCAUGCCUGGCUAAUUUCUUUUUUAAACUUUUGUAGAGAGGGGGUCUCCCUGUGUUGCCCAGGCUGGUCUUAAACUCUUGGGUUCAAGUGAUCCUCCUUCCUCGGCCUACCAAAGUACUGGGAUUACAGGCAUGAGCCAUCACGCUCAGCCAAAAACAUUUUUUAAGAUUCUAGGUGUAAAGAAUGUCUUCAUUCUUAGGUGAAGAUGAAUACCAAUAUUACUUCUAUACAGUUAGUCUCUGAGCUAAUUUUAUAUCUAAUGAAUUACAAAUAAAAUUCAUGAGUUAAAGUUAAAAGACAAAUUACUAUGAGCCUCAAUUUUUAAGAAUAUCAAUCCAUACAUAUAUUAUUUUGUUGUAUAUCUGUAGCAGAGACAUUUUAUUAGUUGCCGUUAGUGUACACAAGUAAAUAGAGAUUCAUGUCUUAAAAUAUUAUACCAUGCCAUAAUUACAAAUGUUCUCCACCUUGCUAUGUUUCCACUGUUUCUCUUGCCAAAUGACCUCAAUUUGUCAACACUAAAGAAAAACAGCCAGGCGCAGAGUGGUGUGGGCCUGUAGUCCCAGCUACUUGGGAGGCUGAGGUGGGAGGAUUGCUCAAGCCCAGGAGUUCUGGGCUAUAGUGCAGGAGUUCUGGGCUGUAGUGCGCUAUGCCAAUCAGGUGUCCGCACUAAGUUCGACAUCAAUAUGGUGACCUCCUGGGAGGGGACCACUAGGUUGCCUAAAGAGGGGUGAACUGGCCCAGGUCGGAAAUGGAGCAGGUCAAAAGUCCCGUGCUGAACAAUAGUGGGAUCGCUCCUGUGAAUAGCCACUGCAUUCCAGCCUGGCAAUAUAGCAAGACCCCAUCCCUAAAAGAAAAAAAAAAAAAAAUUUAAAAAAAUCAUUUUCCUAGUCUGUAUUCUUGUUAAUAUAGCACAUUAAAAUGUACCUUAAGUAUCAUAAGAAUGUGACAUGCUGCUACUACAGAUCACAUUAAUUUUAAUAGAUGAAAACAAAAAGAAGCAAAUAGGAAACAGCAUAAAUAUUUUUUCUCAUGUAACCAAAUGUUUCAGUAUUACUGCAGAGAAAAUUUGAUCUAAUCUUGUCCUUAUCACAUUUUGGGUUCUAAUGUAUCAGUGGUGCCUUCAGAAAUGAACAUAAGCACUUUAUUUUUACUCCUGUGCCUUGUACUGUAUAAAUGAUAAGCUGGCUUUUAAGAGAGAUUGCUAUAUUGCUUUUUCAUCUUCCCUUCAGAAUUUUAGGCAUGAGUGUUAUGCUCCAUCACCUUGAAUAAAUGAUUAAUAAUUCUUCUUUACCAAUACAACUUCAAUUAUAUAUGAUUGCUGCUGUGUUUUGCAAACUUUAAAAUUAUGGUGAUGGACUGGUUAAAGUUAUGAUUUCUCUUUUUAAUAAACCACCAACAGAUUAAAAAGAAAUAUCUCAGGAGCUGCUGAAUCUUCUACCACACCUAAAAUUCAAGAGAUAUAAUUUGUGAGAGCACAAUAUGUUCAGAAUAACUAUCACAUAGAAUACCAUAUGUGCAACUGGACAUUCUACAUGUCUAAUUUCAUAAUUUCAAUGCUAAUUUCUUUUUUAUGUUUGUUUUUCUUCACUAUGUCCUAUGCUUAUGAAUGCUAAUUUCAUAAGCAUUUGAGCCAAAUCUUGACCUACAGAUGUCAAGAAAAAGUUUAUAUAUGUAGAAUUCUUAACAAGCAAAGUUGUUAUUCUGAAAAUCACUUAUUUUUCUUUUAUAAAUAUUUUAUAGGAUUCUUUAUUUAAAUAAAUAUAAUUUUUAAAAUAGGCCAGUCACAGUGGGUCAUGCCUGUAAUCCAGCACUUUGGGAGGCCAAGGCGGGCAGAUCACUUGAGCUCAGGAGUUCCAGACAAGCCUCGCCAGUAUGGUGAAAUCUGUCUCUACCAAAAAUACAAAAAUUAGCCAGGCACAGUGGUGCUCCCCGGUAAUCCCAGCUACUCGUGAGGCUGAGGCCGAGAAUCGCUUGAACACGGGAGGCGGAGGGUGCAGUGAGACGAGAUCGCCCCACUGCACUCCAACCUGGGUGAUGAAGAGAGACCCUGCCUCAGUAAAUAAAUAAAAUGAUUACUUAAUUAAAUAAUGUGGUAUAUGUUGCUAUGUAAACAUCCUACAUAUUGUACUAUAAUAAUGUUAGAACAUUAACAUAAAUGCAUGCUAAAAGUUACACAUAAUCUCAAAUCUAUGUUGUAGACAUGGUUUUUGCUUGCCUAGCAUCUCUCUAGAGCAUCAUUCUCCUCCAGUUCUGAAUCCAUGUUCUUCUGAUAUGGAGAUUUCAAACCUGAGUCCAAGAGAGGCAUGUAGCCAAAGUGAUUAGCUCAGGCUGAGCCGAUCAGAAUGAAUCCCAGGCUUAUGCUAGAGUAUUAAAAGAGUCUAAACUGGCAGGUCCUGCCCAAGAAUAAAGGCCAUGAAGAAUAAUGCAAGGCUGACCACUAGAAAAAGAGAAAUUGAAUCUUGCACCAUUAUUUCACUCCCUGGAUCCAUCGCUGCCAAAAUUCUGAUAACCUCUGGACUUUUUAGUCACAUAAGAAAGCAAUUCUCAUUUUUCUUUUAAGAGGCUUCAAGUUGGUUUCUACUGUUUGCAAGAAAAAGUGCUCUUAUUAAUACAAUCCACUACUCUAGCAAUUAAAAAAGAAAAUACCUAACACUCAACUUGGGUAAGAUUGUGAUGAAUCUGUUUCCCCAAAUACUCCAGGGGAUUGUAAAUCAUUUUAAAGGCUUAGAAAGUAAUAUGAAUAUAAUGAACUGCAUAUCAUGUCCUACUAUUUUGCUGAAGGAUACAAUAUGACUGGUGAAAAAAUUAAUUGCAGUGUUAUACAUGUCCUCCAAAAUUAAAUGCAACCUUUGUCUUAACUAUUGGACAAUGA
rnacentral:lncRNA from 10 species